rnacentral:rRNA from 1 species
CAGGACGAACGCUGGCGGCGUGCUUAACACAUGCAAGUCGAACGAUGAACCUCCUUCGGGAGGGGAUUAGUGGCGAACGGGGUGAGUAACACGUGGGCAAUCUGCCCUGCACUCUGGGACAAGCCCUGGAAACGGGGUCUAAUACCGGAUACGACACGGGACCGCAUGGUCUCCGUGUGGAAAGCUCCGGCGGUGCAGGAUGAGCCCGCGGCCUAUCAGCUUGUUGGUGGGGUGAUGGCCUACCAAGGCGACGACGGGUAGCCGGCCUGAGAGGGCGACCGGCCACACUGGGACUGAGACACGGCCCAGACUCCUACGGGAGGCAGCAGUGGGGAAUAUUGCACAAUGGGCGCAAGCCUGAUGCAGCGACGCCGCGUGAGGGAUGACGGCCUUCGGGUUGUAAACCUCUUUCAGCAGGGAAGAAGCGCAAGUGACGGUACCUGCAGAAGAAGCGCCGGCUAACUACGUGCCAGCAGCCGCGGUAAUACGUAGGGCGCAAGCGUUGUCCGGAAUUAUUGGGCGUAAAGAGCUCGUAGGCGGCUUGUCGCGUCGGAUGUGAAAGCCCGGGGCUUAACCCCGGGUCUGCAUUCGAUACGGGCAGGCUAGAGUUCGGUAGGGGAGAUCGGAAUUCCUGGUGUAGCGGUGAAAUGCGCAGAUAUCAGGAGGAACACCGGUGGCGAAGGCGGAUCUCUGGGCCGAUACUGACGCUGAGGAGCGAAAGCGUGGGGAGCGAACAGGAUUAGAUAC